rnacentral:rRNA from 1 species
GAACGCUGGCGGCAGGCCUAACACAUGCAAGUCGAGCGGUAGCACAGAGAGCUUGCUCUCGGGUGACGAGCGGCGGACGGGUGAGUAAUGUCUGGGAAACUGCCUGAUGGAGGGGGAUAACUACUGGAAACGGUAGCUAAUACCGCAUAAUGUCGCAAGACCAAAGUGGGGGACCUUCGGGCCUCAUGCCAUCAGAUGUGCCCAGAUGGGAUUAGCUAGUAGGUGGGGUAACGGCUCACCUAGGCGACGAUCCCUAGCUGGUCUGAGAGGAUGACCAGCCACACUGGAACUGAGACACGGUCCAGACUCCUACGGGAGGCAGCAGUGGGGAAUAUUGCACAAUGGGCGCAAGCCUGAUGCAGCCAUGCCGCGUGUGUGAAGAAGGCCUUCGGGUUGUAAAGCACUUUCAGCGGGGAGGAAGGCGUUAAGGUUAAUAACCUUGGCGAUUGACGUUACCCGCAGAAGAAGCACCGGCUAACUCCGUGCCAGCAGCCGCGGUAAUACGGAGGGUGCAAGCGUUAAUCGGAAUUACUGGGCGUAAAGCGCACGCAGGCGGUCUGUCAAGUCGGAUGUGAAAUCCCCGGGCUCAACCUGGGAACUGCAUUCGAAACUGGCAGGCUAGAGUCUUGUAGAGGGGGGUAGAAUUCCAGGUGUAGCGGUGAAAUGCGUAGAGAUCUGGAGGAAUACCGGUGGCGAAGGCGGCCCCCUGGACAAAGACUGACGCUCAGGUGCGAAAGCGUGGGGAGCAAACAGGAUUAGAUACCCUGGUAGUCCACGCCGUAAACGAUGUCGAUUUGGAGGUUGUGCCCUUGAGGCGUGGCUUCCGGAGCUAACGCGUUAAAUCGACCGCCUGGGGAGUACGGCCGCAAGGUUAAAACUCAAAUGAAUUGACGGGGGCCCGCACAAGCGGUGGAGCAUGUGGUUUAAUUCGAUGCAACGCGAAGAACCUUACCUGGUCUUGACAUCCACAGAACUUUCCAGAGAUGGAUUGGUGCCUUCGGGAACUGUGAGACAGGUGCUGCAUGGCUGUCGUCAGCUCGUGUUGUGAAAUGUUGGGUUAAGUCCCGCAACGAGCGCAACCCUUAUCCUUUGUUGCCAGCGGUUCGGCCGGGAACUCAAAGGAGACUGCCAGUGAUAAACUGGAGGAAGGUGGGGAUGACGUCAAGUCAUCAUGGCCCUUACGACCAGGGCUACACACGUGCUACAAUGGCAUAUACAAAGAGAAGCGACCUCGCGAGAGCAAGCGGACCUCAUAAAGUAUGUCGUAGUCCGGAUUGGAGUCUGCAACUCGACUCCAUGAAGUCGGAAUCGCUAGUAAUCGUAGAUCAGAAUGCUACGGUGAAUACGUUCCCGGGCCUUGUACACACCGCCCGUCACACCAUGGGAGUGGGUUGCAAAAGAAGUAGGUAGCUUAACCUUCGGGAGGGCGCUUACCACUUUGUGAUUCAUGACUGGGGUGAAG